AACUAUCUUCUCUUAUUAAUCAAAUUGAUUACAAAUCGUUCUCAGUAAUCAUGUAGACAUUCGAUUUAGCGAAUGCUAUCAUGGCAGGGGUAUCGAUCAUAUCUUCCGCUGACUAAAUCUUAAAUUCUUUACCAAUUUCUUCCGUUGCUGCUGUUCUUCAUCAUCUUCAAUUAGGGUGAAGAUUCAAGGAGUUUGUAUGGAGAGUUGCUACUGGUGAUUACUUGGUGUGAAGUUUGAUUUGAUCCUGAUACUGCAACGUCGUCAAUCAGGAUUAAACAUGUAUUUUGGAUCUAAAAUUCAGUUUUAGGGUUUGAGCUCUUGGUUAUUUCGAUUUCCUGUGCGGUGUUUGGAUUUAAUUCUCUUACCUCAUCAACUAAAAAUCGAAUCUCUGCUGUCCUCACAGUGGUGGUAUGUGAGUGAGUUGGUUUGUGUGUGCAAUGAUGGAACUGAGGAUGCUGUUUUGGUAUUGAAAUUGGUGAGAUAUAUAAGUACAGAUUGAAGUUCUCUUUGAUGAGUCUACAUUCAGUUCAGAUGUAGCCUGAUUUAGUUAUCUUUUACUUUCAUGUUUGUUAUUUUGUGUGAUUGAAUAAUACAAAGUCCAGCUGAGAUCAUGCUGUCAGUAUAUCAAUAAAAAUGUGAAUAAUUAUAUAUGCAAGGGACUGCAGCUGCAGAGAUUUGUGCAUUGUUUCAUUUUAAUGUUGGUAAAUAGAGUUGAGAGAGGUUGCUUGGAAUGAUAUAGUAGAAUUUGUUGUCACUUGGUGGUGUUAUCAUAACCAGAUAUGUUGAUUUUGCUGCUGCUCCUUAUACUUCUUGCUGGUUCAUUAAUUUUUUCUCCUGCCACAUUUCCAAACCUGCUACAACUUCAGUUCGUACUAUUUUCAUGAAUCAACCGCAACAAUUUACUCCAUAUGUCUCCUGCAACUGGUAUUCAAUGUGCUAAAGACAACUGGUGUUCAAUGUGCUAAAGACAACUGCUCUCUCGUUGAUGUAUGCAAGCUAAUGAUGUUAAGGAUUUGCAGUGAAUAUGUUUUGAAUGAGCUUUCAGCUCCAUUCUGGUAGGAGAAUGGUGUGGUUUUCUGCACAACAUCCAGGGAUAGUUCAAUGCAGUCACUACUCCUCUGGCAUUCCUGCAAUAUUUUUUGUUGAUUUUGCUGCUGCUAACUUUUCAGUGAACAGGAAUCCCACUUCUCUGUGUGCAAGAGCUGCUAAUAAUGAUAAAUUCCUACUUAUGGUUUACUAUUUCUCUUGCACUGUCUCAAUCCAGAAAUACAACAUCACCUAUUUUUCCACUACCUGCAUACUUCUGAUUUCACAUGCUGCUUGGGGUCAUCUCACAGAAUUUUGGUUGCCUGUUGUUGCUUACUGUGAUGUGCUUGUGCGUGAACUGGUGCUGCUAAACUUGAAUAUUCUACAGUCAGCCUUGAUUGCAUUUUCCCUACUGUAUGCUCUCCUGCAACCACUCAUAAUGGCCCUAUUACACUGCAACUUCUGCUCCAACUACAACUGUUGUUUCUUGUGCCACUGCCAAGUCUGCUGCGCUUUCUACAACACCUGGCAUAUUCUACGACUACCAUUCCAUUUUAGCUUCCUUUGGGAGAUUAAUGUUGUCCUUCAGAAUUUUCUUUGUCCGUUCUCUUUGUUGCGGGCUGGUAUGAAUCUUUACAGGGACGCUUUGUUGGUUGCUUCACCAAUUGCUACCCAUACUUCUAGUGCAAGUAUUUUUAUCUACAGAAAAGUUUCUUUCUGCAUCAAUACUGCCUCCUCCAACUGAACAUUCUACACCAACUGAAAUUCAUACUUCUUCCUACUGUUUCCCCAUCUAUUAUAGAUAAAGAGUGUGUGUGCUGGUUUGUGUGUGAGUGUGUCAGUUGUUAGUGCAAUCUCAUGUUGUCUUUUACAGACCAAUUGAGAUUGAGGGAGGGUAAUACAAUGUGUGUGAGUGUAUCAGUUGUUAGUGUGCAGUGUGUGUGUGCCGAGCACGUGUGAGACUGAUGUCGAGAGAAAAGAGAAUUCAGUACAUAAACUCGAGUCCGUACUGUAAACAACUAUCUUCUCUUAUUAAUCAAAUUGAUUACAAAUCGUUCUCAGUAA